rnacentral:rRNA from 1 species
GACGAACGCUGGCGGCGUGCUUAACACAUGCAAGUCGAACGGAAAGGCCCUGCUUUUGUGGGGUGCUCGAGUGGCGAACGGGUGAGUAACACGUGAGUAACCUGCCCUUGACUUUGGGAUAUCUUCAGGAAACUGGGGCUAAUACCGGAUAGGAGCUCCUGCUGCAUGGUGGGGGUUGGAAAGUUUCGGCGGUUGGGGAUGGACUCGCGGCUUAUCAGCUUGUUGGUGGGGUAGUGGCUUACCAAGGCUUUGACGGGUAGCCGGCCUGAGAGGGUGACCGGCCACAUUGGGACUGAGAUACGGCCCAGACUCCUACGGGAGGCAGCAGUGGGGAAUAUUGCACAAUGGGCGGAAGCCUGAUGCAGCAACGCCGCGUGCGGGAUGACGGCCUUCGGGUUGUAAACCGCUUUCGCCUGUGACGAAGCGUGAGUGACGGUAAUGGGUAAAGAAGCACCGGCUAACUACGUGCCAGCAGCCGCGGUGAUACGUAGGGUGCGAGCGUUGUCCGGAUUUAUUGGGCGUAAAGGGCUCGUAGGUGGUUGAUCGCGUCGGAAGUGUAAUCUUGGGGCUUAACCCUGAGCGUGCUUUCGAUACGGGUUGACUUGAGGAAGGUAGGGGAGAAUGGAAUUCCUGGUGGAGCGGUGGAAUGCGCAGAUAUCAGGAGGAACACCAGUGGCGAAGGCGGUUCUCUGGGCCUUUCCUGACGCUGAGGAGCGAAAGCGUGGGGAGCGAACAGGCUUAGAUACCCUGGUAGUCCACGCUGUAAACGGUGGGUACUAGGUGUGGGGUCCAUUCCACGGGUUCCGUGCCGUAGCUAACGCUUUAAGUACCCCGCCUGGGGAGUACGGCCGCAAGGCUAAAACUCAAAGGAAUCGACGGGGCCCCGCACAAGCGGCGGAGCAUGCGGAUUAAUUCGAUGCAACGCGUAGAACCUUACCUGGGUUUGACAUGGAUCGGGAGUGCUCAGAGAUGGGUGUGCCUCUUUUGGGGUCGGUUCACAGGUGGUGCAUGGCUGUCGUCAGCUCGUGUCGUGAGAUGUUGGGUUAAGUCCCGCAACGAGCGCAACCCUUGUUCACUGUUGCCAGCACGUUAUGGUGGGGACUCAGUGGAGACCGCCGGGGUCAACUCGGAGGAAGGUGGGGAUGACGUCAAGUCAUCAUGCCCCUUAUGUCCAGGGCUUCACGCAUGCUACAAUGGCUGGUACAGAGAGUGGCGAGCCUGUGAGGGUGAGCGAAUCUCGGAAAGCCGGUCUCAGUUCGGAUUGGGGUCUGCAACUCGACCUCAUGAAGUCGGAGUCGCUAGUAAUCGCAGAUCAGCAACGCUGCGGUGAAUACGUUCCCGGG